rnacentral:rRNA from 1 species
CAGUCGCCGCGGGAAUACAGAGGGUGCGAGCAUUAAUCGGAUUUACUGGGCGUAAAGCGUGCGUAGGCGGCUUCUUAAGUCGGAUGUGAAAUCCCUGAGCUUAACUUAGGAAUUGCAUUCGAUACUGGGAAGCUAGAGUAUGGGAGAGGAUGGUAGAAUUCCAGGUGUAGCGGUGAAAUGCGUAGAGAUCUGGAGGAAUACCGAUGGCGAAGGCAGCCAUCUGGCCUAAUACUGACGCUGAGGUACGAAAGCAUGGGGAGCAAACAGGAUUAGAUACCCCUGUAGUCCCUGUCUCUUAUAC